GGCGCGAUAGCAAAUCGGUUAUGCAACAGCCUGCAAAGUUGUUUAGACCGGUUCGAUUCCGGUUCGCGCUU
rnacentral:tRNA from 1 species